AGUGAACGCUGGCGGUAGGCCUAACACAUGCAAGUCGAACGGCAGCACAGUAAGAGCUUGCUCUUACGGGUGGCGAGUGGCGGACGGGUGAGGAAUACAUCGGAAUCUACUUUUUCGUGGGGGAUAACGUAGGGAAACUUACGCUAGUACCGCAUACGACCUACGGGUGAAAGCAGGGGAUCUUCGGACCUUGCGCGAUUGAAUGAGCCGAUGUCGGAUUAGCUAGUUGGCGGGGUAUAGGCCCACCAAGGCGACGAUCCGUAGCUGGUCUGAGAGGAUGAUCAGCCACACUGGAACUGAGACACGGUCCAGACUCCUACGGGAGGCAGCAGUGGGGAAUAUUGGACAAUGGGCGCAAGCCUGAUCCAGCCAUACCGCGUGGGUGAAGAAGGCCUUCGGGUUGUAAAGCCCUUUUGUUGGGAAAGAAAAGCAGCAGGUUAAUACCCCGCUGUUCUGACGGUACCCAAAGAAUAAGCACCGGCUAACUUCGUG
rnacentral:rRNA from 1 species